UACGGGGGGUGCGAGCGUUGUCCGGAAUCACUGGGCGUAAAGGGCGCGUAGGUGGCGUCGUAAGUUUGUGGUGAAAGCCCGGAGCUCAACUCCGGGUCUGCCGCGAAUACUGCGAGGCUUGAGUGCUGUAGAGGGGGGUAGAAUGCCGGGUGUAGCGGUGGAAUGCGUAGAGAUCCGGCAGAAGACCGGUGGCGAAGGCGGCCCCCUGGGCAGUAACUGACACUGAGGCGCGACAGCGUGGGGAGCAAACAGG
rnacentral:rRNA from 1 species